rnacentral:lncRNA from 1 species
UUUUUCUUUACCCAAUUUAUAUGGUUAGAAUUUCGGAACGUACGAAAAUAUCGCAAAAGACAUAAUAUUAAGAGAAGAGGAUAAGGUAGAGGAAAAAAAAAAAAAAAAAAAAAUUUUUUAUUAUAUAAUAAAAAAGUGGAUUUGAAAACAGAUGAAAAACCAGUGAGAAUAAAAAAACGUAUCGAAAUAGAAAAUAUAGAAAGGACAUGUGACUUCUACAUAAACAAAUAUUUUAAAGAUGAUGUAGAUAAAUCUAAUUUAACUGAUGUAAAAAAUGAAACCAAAACUAAUAAUGACAGUUCUAUAACUUAUUUAAAUAAAAGAAGAAACUCAUUUUUUCUAAUGAAAACUGAAUUAUUAUAUAAAUCAAAAAUUAAUUCAAAACAAGCUUUAUUGAUAUAUGAAAAAAUAAAAGAAAAACUUGAACAUAAUUAUAAUAUAGCAUACAGUUUAAGUGUCCCAGGUAGGACAUACAAUACUAUUCGCAUAUAUAUGUACGUAUGUUGUCUAUAAGUAUAGCAUUAGUUUGUUCAAAAGUUAUUUUAUAUGUAUAAGCAUGUGUUUGUAUAGGAACGCAAAUACAUACAUAAAUAUAUGUAUAGAUAUAAACACUUCCAACUAUGUGUGCUUAUAUAAGAAAAAAAAUAAAAAAACAUAUUUUUCUCUGAACAUAUGAAUAUUUACAUACCAUUUAUACAAACGGAUAUAUAUAUAUAUAUAUAUAUAUAUAUAUAUAUAUAUGUAUUUGUGUGUAUAUGUGUGUACUAGAUUACCAAUUCCGUCUUAUAAUACUAUCGGAUUCCUUCAUUUUCUCACAGGUAACCACAUAAAAAAAGAUAAUAACAUUAAAGAUGAAAAUUUAAAAGAGAAUUCAAACUUAAAGAUAGUGGAAAACAGUAACACUAACACUGUUUUGAAAAAUAAACAAACUAAAAUAAAAGACACGAAAGGAAAAACAAACAAAAAAAUUAUAAAUAAAGAGAAUCAUAUAUUAUCGGAAGAAGCGAAUAAAAUAGCAACUGACCAUUAUGAUGGUACUAUAGUAAAAGAAAAUACAAAAAUAAGUAUAGCAAUAAAUAAUGAUAAUGGAAAUAUAAAAAGUGAUAAAAAUAAAGAAGGAGAAGAAGCAGAAGCAGAAGCAGUUGAGUCAGGUGAAAAUCAACAUUUUAAAAAUAUAAAUGAUAAAGAAGCUAGCGAGCAAAUAAAAGAAAAUCAUGAUGAAGUUCAAAAAAGUGAAUCAAGUGAUGCAAAACUUGAUAAUGCAUUAGGAAAUUUGCAAGAUGGACAAACAUAUGAAGGACGAAUGAAUAAGGACAUAACUGAGGAGGAAGAUAAUACGAACGCAGGAAAUGAAGUUGAAGCGGGUCGAGUUGUAGAGGAUAACAUUAUACAAGAUAAAACUGAAGAGAAUAUUGUUCAGGUAGACAAAGUUGAUGAGGAUACUGUUAAAGUAGAUACAGUUGAAGAGGAUACUGUUAAAGUAGAUA